CUAGAUGCCGGCAUGGAAGCAAAAGUAGGCGCAAAACCUUUAGGUACAAAGUUUGGCGGCAUUCCCUAUAGGAAUCCGGUAGGCAUGGCAGGAGCAAAAUGAGUGGCAGGCACGGUUGAAGAAACAACCUCGGAUAUGACCAUCCUCUAAGGAGGAGGAGUUGCAGGCGUUGGAAAAGAUUGACUUUGAGCAGCUAGGACUGACUCCAUCAUGGCAGUCAG
rnacentral:lncRNA from 1 species